CGGAGGAUGUGAAGGAAACAACAAUAAUUUUGAGACGGAAGAAGCGUGUAGACGACAUUGCGAUGGACCAUGCCCCUGUCCUGAAGGAUUUCUGGGUCAAGUCUGUUGGUUGAAUUGUGACGUUUGUGAUGAACAUGCAUCAACGACGCCAAACUAUAUUUGUUGCGAUGACGGUAGCUGCCCGGCACCAGCAUGUCUUGGAGGAGUAUACACGCCAGAAGGAUUUUGUGAGUUGGACUGUGAGUAUUACUCGCCAGGAGAUGUAGUAAACGAAGAUUGUAAAAUAUGCGUUUGUAGAGAAAGGGGAUUGGAUUUGUCGACCUGACCUG